UACGAAGGGGGCUAGCGUUGCUCGGAAUCACUGGGCGUAAAGCGCACGUAGGCGGCCAACUAAGUCGGAUGUGAAAUCCCCAGGCUUAACCUGGGAAUUGCAUCCGAUACUGGAUGGCUUGAAUCCGGGAGAGGGAUGCGGAAUUCCAGGUGUAGCGGUGAAAUGCGUAGAUAUCUGGAGGAAAACCGGUGGAGAAGGCGGCAUCCUGGACCGGAAUUGACGCUGAGGAGCGAAAGCCAGGGGAGCAAACGGG
rnacentral:rRNA from 1 species